AUGCAAGUCGACGCACAGCGAAAGGUGCUUGCACCUUUCAAGUGAGUGGCGAAGGGGUGAGUAACACGUGGACAACCUGCCUCAAGGCUGGGGAUAACAUUUGGAAACAGAUGCUAAUACCGAAUAAAACUUAGUGUCGCAUGACACAAAGUUAAAAGGCGCUUCGGCGUCACCUAGAGAUGGAUCCGCGGUGCAUUAGUUAGUUGGUGGGGUAAAGGCCUACCAAGACAAUGAUGCAUAGCCGAGUUGAGAGACUGAUCGGCCACAUUGGGACUGAGACACGGCCCAAACUCCUACGGGAGGCUGCAGUAGGGAAUCUUCCACAAUGGGCGAAAGCCUGAUGGAGCAACGCCGCGUGUGUGAUGAAGGCUUUCGGGUCGUAAAGCACUGUUGUAUGGGAAGAACAGCUAGAAUAGGAAAUGAUUUUAGUUUGACGGUACCAUACCACAAAGGGACGGCUAAAUACGUGCCAGCAGCCGCGGUAAUACGUAUGUCCCGAGCGUUAUCCGGAUUUAUUGGGCGUAAAGCGAGCGCAGACGGUUUAUUAAGUCUGAUGUGAAAGCCCGGAGCUCAACUCCGGAAUGGCAUUGGAAACUGGUUAACUUGAGUGCAGUAGAGGUAAGUGGAACUCCAUGUGUAGCGGUGGAAUGCGUAGAUAUAUGGAAGAACA
rnacentral:rRNA from 1 species